rnacentral:rRNA from 1 species
GAUGAACGCUAGCUACAGGCUUAACACAUGCAAGUCGAGGGGCAUCAGGAAGAAAGCUUGCUUUCUUUGCUGGCGACCGGCGCACGGGUGAGUAACACGUAUCCAACCUGCCCUUUACUCGGGGAUAGCCUUUCGAAAGAAAGAUUAAUACCCGAUGGCAUAAUGAUUCCGCAUGGUUUCAUUAUUAAAGGAUUCCGGUAAAGGAUGGGGAUGCGUUCCAUUAGGUUGUUGGUGAGGUAACGGCUCACCAAGCCUUCGAUGGAUAGGGGUUCUGAGAGGAAGGUCCCCCACAUUGGAACUGAGACACGGUCCAAACUCCUACGGGAGGCAGCAGUGAGGAAUAUUGGUCAAUGGGCGCUAGCCUGAACCAGCCAAGUAGCGUGAAGGAUGAAGGCUCUAUGGGUCGUAAACUUCUUUUAUAUAAGAAUAAAGUGCAGUAUGUAUACUGUUUUGUAUGUAUUAUAUGAAUAAGGAUCGGCUAACUCCGUGCCAGCAGCCGCGGUAAUACGGAGGAUCCGAGCGUUAUCCGGAUUUAUUGGGUUUAAAGGGAGCGUAGGUGGACUGGUAAGUCAGUUGUGAAAGUUUGCGGCUCAACCGUAAAAUUGCAGUUGAUACUGUCAGUCUUGAGUACAGUAGAGGUGGGCGGAAUUCGUGGUGUAGCGGUGAAAUGCUUAGAUAUCACGAAGAACUCCGAUUGCGAAGGCAGCUCACUGGACUGCAACUGACACUGAUGCUCGAAAGUGUGGGUAUCAAACGGGAUUAGAUACCCUGGUAGUCCACACAGUAAACGAUGAAUACUCGCUGUUUGCGAUAUACAGUAAGCGGCCAAGCGAAAGCAUUAAGUAUUCCACCUGGGGAGUACGCCGGCAACGGUGAAACUCAAAGGAAUUGACGGGGGCCCGCACAAGCGGAGGAACAUGUGGUUUAAUUCGAUGAUACGCGAGGAACCUUACCCGGGCUUAAAUUGCAGUGGAAUGAUGUGGAAACAUGUCAGUGAGCAAUCACCGCUGUGAAGGUGCUGCAUGGUUGUCGUCAGCUCGUGCCGUGAGGUGUCGGCUUAAGUGCCAUAACGAGCGCAACCCUUAUCUUUAGUUACUAACAGGUUAUGCUGAGGACUCUAGAGAGACUGCCGUCGUAAGAUGUGAGGAAGGUGGGGAUGACGUCAAAUCAGCACGGCCCUUACGUCCGGGGCUACACACGUGUUACAAUGGGGGGUACAGAGGGCAGCUAGCGGGUGACCGUAUGCUAAUCCCAAAAGCCUCUCUCAGUUCGGAUCGAAGUCUGCAACCCGACUUCGUGAAGCUGGAUUCGCUAGUAAUCGCGCAUCAGCCACGGCGCGGUGAAUACGUUCCCGGGCCUUGUACACACCGCCCGUCAAGCCAUGGGAGCCGGGGGUACCUGAAGUACGUAACCGCAAGGAUCGUCCUAGGGUAAAACUGGUG